CGAGUUACAUUGGAUAAAAGCAAAUAUCUAUCUAGCUUUUGACUGAGUUUGUGAUAGAUUUGCUUUUUUUUCUGAUAAAAUUG
ensembl:snoRNA